rnacentral:pre_miRNA from 1 species
CCCUUAACUAUUAAAAGUUUCGUUUUGAUCCCUUAACUUAUUUUUAGGUUUUGUUUUGGUCCCUUAACUCUUCCUUCGUCAACCACUUUGAUCUUUUAUGCUAGGAUGAAUGUAUUAGAGUUAAGGGACCAAAACGAAACCAAAAAAUAAGUUAAGGGACCAAAACGAAACCAAAAAAUAAGUUAAGGGAUCAAAACAAAACUUUUAAUAGUUAAGGGACCAAAACGAAACUAAAAAAUAAGUUAAAGGACCAAAACGAAACUUUUAAUAGUUAAGGGA